GGUACAUGUAAUUAGGGGGCAUGUGGAUCGCUCCGGUAGCCCUAAUUUGACACCCUGGAUUGGAUCGGGUCACCUGUAUCGGUCUAAGGGUGUUACAA